ACUACGGGGUGCUGCAGUGAGGAAUAUUGGUCAAUGGGCGAGAGCCUGAACCAGCCAAGUCGCGUGAGGGAAGACGGUCCUACGGAUUGUAAACCUCUUUUGUCAGGGAGCAAGGAGCGCCACGAGUGGUGCGGCGAGAGUACCUGAAGAAAAAGCAUCGGCUACCUCCGUGCCAGCAGCCGCGGUAAUACGGAGGAUGCGAGCGUUAUUCGGAUUUAUUGGGUUUAAAGGGUGCGCAGGGGGAAGCGGCAAGUCAGCGGUAAAAGUGCGGGGUGAAACCCCGCCGAGCCGUUGAAACUGGUCUUCUAGAGUGGGCGAGAAGUAUGCGGAAUGCGUGGUGUAGCGGUGAAAUGCAUAGAUAUCACGCAGAACUCCGAUUGCGAAGGCAGCAUACCGGCGCCCAACUGACGCUCAUGCACGAAAGCGUGGGUAUCGAACAGGAUUAGAUACCCCUGUAGUC
rnacentral:rRNA from 1 species